rnacentral:rRNA from 1 species
GAACGCUGGCGGCAUGCCUACACAUGCAAGUCAAACGGCAGCACGGGAGCAAUCCUGGUGGCGAGUGGCGAACGGGUGAGUAAUAUAUCGGAACGUGCCCGGUCGUGGGGGAUAACGUAGCGAAAGCUACGCUAAUACCGCAUACGAUCUACGGAUGAAAGCGGGGGAUCGCAAGACCUCGCGCGAUUGGAGCGGCCGAUAUCAGAUUAGGUAGUUGGUGAGGUAAAGGCUCACCAAGCCGACGAUCUGUAGCUGGUCUGAGAGGACGACCAGCCACACUGGGACUGAAACACGGCCCAGACUCCUACGGGAGGCAGCAGUGGGGAAUUUUGGACAAUGGGCGCAAGCCUGAUCCAGCAAUGCCGCGUGCAGGAUGAAGGCCUUCGGGUUGUAAACUGCUUUGUACGGAACGAAACGGUGAGCUCUAAUACAGUUUGCUAAUGACGGUACCGUAAGAAUAAGCACCGGCUAACUACGUG